GACGAACGCUGGCGGCGUGCUUAACACAUGCAAGUCGAACGGAAAGGCCCUGCUUUUGUGGGGUGCUCGAGUGGCGAACGGGUGAGUAACACGUGAGUAACCUGCCCUUGACUUUGUGAUAACUUCAGGAAACUGGGGCUAAUACCGGAUAUGAGCUCCUGCUGCAUGGUGGGGGUUGGAAAGUUUCGGCGGUUGGGGAUGGACUCGCGGCUUAUCAGCUUGUUGGUGGGGUAGUGGCUUACCAAGGCUUUGACGGGAAGCCGGCCUGAGAGGGUUACCGGCCACAUUGGGACUGAGAUACGGCCCAGACUCCUACGGGCGGCAGCAGUGGGGAAUAUUGCACAAUGGGCGGAAGCCUGAUGCAGCAACGCCGCGUGCGGGAUGACGGCCUUCGGGUUGUAAACCGCUUUCGCCUGUGACGAAGCGUGAGUGACGGUAAUGGGUAAAGAAGCACCGGCUAACUACGUG
rnacentral:rRNA from 1 species